rnacentral:lncRNA from 1 species
UUCUUCUUAUAUAAAGACUUUAAAGACUAUUUUUAUUUGAAUAAGAACACAUUUUGAUUUUUUGCACAUAUGCGCAUAAAGUUAUCUUUUGUACAUUAAAAUAUUAUUGUGCACUAAAGUGUGACUCUGAGUUAAAACUUAUAAUAAGUUCAUACCGUUGUAACUUAUAAAGUUAUUUGAUUAAGGAAUUCGUGCUUUUGAUACUUGGAAGAAAGUGUUCAUCUUUUGAGGCAUAACCGUUAUGAUCAAAUUAUUGUGAUUUCUUGGACGAGUGAAAAAUUUUGGCUGUAUAAUUUAGUUGGUACCUAAUAAAAUUUUGUAUCGCCUAUACGGUAAUGAAUAUAUUACUAGACCAAGUGGGAGAAUGUUGGAUGUGGCCCACGUAAUAUAUUUAAGGCGAUCCAUAAAGAUACAGUCAAUCUAUUUAAGUCGAUCUAUAAAGAUACGGUAGAUCUUACAAUUAGGAUGUAUCUGAACACGUUCUUAAUGGACGGACGCGAUUUAACAUUCUUACAUUAAGUUAUAUAUAAAUAUGUAACAUACGGGAGUCCCGCUCUAACCCUAAUCCAAUUGUCUGUGACGGCUCCAUCUCCGGGGAUAAGAAAAUUAAACUCGAAACGUCCCGCUAAUUUGCAGAUCGUGAACGAGAACGAACCACGAGUAAGGAUCACCGUCAACAAUUCGGAUACAAAAAUCGAAAUUAUGAUAGAAGGUACAAUCUUAGUUUCUUAUAAAAUUUCAACAUCGAAUUUCGGUUCAAAAAAAAGUCU